UAAUUUUUAAGUUCGUAUGUCAUAUAUUCAAUGUUACGAUAUUUUCAUGUAAAUAGAUCAAAACUUUACAAGCACGUGGGAAGCCAUUGCACAGAUGAUGUGAUAUGCAUAUGCGACAGUCAACUUAGUUUCCUUGCUGCUGCUGAUUCAGCUAUUUUGAAUUAUUUCAUCCUCAUUAAUUGCAGAAUGAAGUACGACGUUCGGAAUUUUCAUCAUCGUCAAUUUUACUUAUCCAUAAUAAGAAAUGGUAUUCAACACUCGACAACAAUUGAACGUAUGCAUUGUGACUUUGUUCGUUAUAGUUAACAAUAUAAUGUGGCGUACGUACUUAGAAAUACGCAGAAUGGAUUUGGCUAGAGUCUAACAGAAUUAACGUCUUCUGUUUAAGUUUAUACAUUCAUUCUUCGAUUAAGCAAUGUUUUCUUAUGGAAACUUUCUUUUGUCCUUUUCUUUUGGUUAUACAUUUUUUAUUAAAUAUGUUGUACAUAUAUCGAAUAGCUGAGGAUUCUGAAUUCAUUUUACUUUAAUAGCAUUCUUGUAAUUUUAUUUCUUUAAUUUUGUAGUAAUGAAUUUAAUAUGGAUUCUUUCAACAUUUAUGGUUGACAUGUAAUUAGUGAUGGACAUCAUUGGAAUAAGAAAUAUCUAGGCAUAAGACUUUUAUUUCAUUCAAUAAUAAAUAUUUACUGAAAAUCGAAGAUGUUAAGUUUUAUAUAAUCUUAUAAAUUGCAUCCUAGAACUAUGAAUUCUUCUAUUGUCAACUGGACAUAGUUGGAAAUUUAUGUGCAUGAUAAACGAUCACGAAUAUCAUUCAUAAACUAAAUAUAUUUUAUUCUUUAUUUUUUAGCAAAUACACAAUUACAAUUAAGUGGAUAAAAUAUUCAUUUUUUUAUGAAAUUUAAAUAUAUUACACAGA